rnacentral:lncRNA from 1 species
GCCAGAGCUAGCAGUGGCAACCUGCUCAGUUUCUCUCUGCAGUGUGGAAGGUUUGUUCUUUUGCUGUUUGCGGUAAAUCUUGCUGCUGCUCACUGUUUUGGUUUGCAUUCCCUUUAUGAGCUGUGACACUCACCGCAAAGGUCUGCAGUUUCACUCCUGAGGCCAGUGCGACCACGAACCCACAGGGAGGAAUGAACAACUCCCGACAGGAGGAAUGAACAAUUCCAGACGCGCGCCGCCUUAAGAGCUGUAACACUCACCACGAAAGUCUGCAGCUUCACUCCUGAAGCUAGCAAGACCACGAACCCACUAGAAGGAAAAAACUCUGAACGCGUCUGAACAUCAGAAGGAGAAAACUUCGGACACACCGUCUUUAAGAACUGGAACACUUAUACCAUGAGGGUCUGCGGCUUCAUUCUUGAGCCAUUCAACAUAGUGCAUCAGAAGUGAUCUUUCAACACAUCCAGUACAUGAAUAAAUGAAAAACGCAAGUUACAAAACAUUACAGAGGUAAAAUCAUAAAUAUAGUCCCUGAAUUUCAUGGCCACCUGACCUUCACAUGAAGCUCAUAUUAAAGCCAUCUAUAGAGCAUGUUUUCCUGAAAACUUGACAAUCCAGGUUUGAAUACCCGCCUCCAAGUGAUAGGAAAGAACAGCCAAGUUUGAAUGCACACUGAUGUUUCAGGACCAUGGACAGUAGCAUCGGUUGCCCAGGAAAGUACAAAUGCAUGCUCUGGCUAUCACACUGAAUCAGGGAGAAUGAGAGACACCUGGAGCAGAUCUUGACCUAACCUAUUGCUUUGAAGUGAGCCCAGCAGACAGCAGGCUAGGUCAGACACCUGGCUGAGCAGCCCAAAGACAA